CCUGGCGCUCGCUGAUCGGGCGAAGGAAAAAAAGAGAAAACGAGUUGAUUUGUCGUGACCUCGCCCAGUUAUCACCGUCCCCGCAUACGACCACCCCCUCACGUCUCCUCUACCUGCCCAGCACACGCCGCCUAUCCUCUUCCUCACCUAAUGCGAGCAAGAACAGUGCCCGGAAAGGGGCCAAAAGUGCUGGAUGGGAGCAGCACCGGGAGAUGCAGUCUGCGGCGCGUGGCCCUGCGGCGGCGGACCCUGCACAUGCGGCGUUUUCUUCCUUCCUAUGCAGUCGCCGCCUCCUGCCCCGGCGACUUCCUCCGGCUGCACGGCCGAAUUGCACCCAGCGUCUCCAUGGUGAGAGAAUUCCAGACUUCUGGUGUGGAGGAAGAAGGCUAGGCCGCUGAUGGAGCCACUUCCAAAUCACGCCAUGAUGCCGAUGAUGCAUGUCAUUGUUUGUUCUGCUGGGUGACGGCCGCACGACCUGAAGAUACAUAACUCAGGCAAUCGCUUAUAGCCCCUUCUCUAUUGGUCUUGCUGGAUACACUCACGUUUUCCCUUUACUCAAUGCUGGCCACUCAGAGGCGAGCGACCACGCAGCCUGUUCUCAUUUGUGAAAAGAUGUAUGGAUGGUGAGCAUAGUUCUAUUAUCUGUGUUUUGUGCCUGCCAUCUGUUUGAUAAAAUGCAGAGCCCCUAUCAUUCCACUAUCCCCAACAUACCUUGUGACGACGGCUCCGCACAGUGGCCAAUAACAAACCUGAAAGGUGUAUGCUUGCACGACGCCCUUGCUUGCAAGCUAGGUUUCGAUCCUUGAGGAAGGUGAUUGUUUAGAACUUUUAAUUAGAAAUUAUUUUAGUCUGUAAGUCAUUUGGGAAAAACUAAUUUUGUUGAAAUUAAAUUGAUGGGUCGAAACAAAAAAUGCUAAUCCUUCUGAUUUAUAAUAAUUGUCACGGUUGUACUAAAUCAGCGACGCUUAUUGUUGAAUGGAGGGAGUAGAUAUGAUGCAGCUGGUGGCCAAACUGGUUUCCUUACGGUUUGUUUCAAGACAUAUGGAAAUUGGGAUUUGAAUAAAUAUAGAAUGAUUGUGGUUCAUGUAGAGAGGCUUAUUGUGACUAGGAAUAACCAGGAAAUGUAGUAACUAAAUUGUUGUGAUUGGAUUUUGAAUCAUGAUUAGAAACUAUAGUAGCUUUUCCUUUCUACCUGAUGCUUAGAAACUUGCAGAGCAGGCGUGCCGUGAAUCAAAAAUUGGAGAGAAUUUCCUGAUGCAAUCUUGUUCAUGCCAACAAGUUGUUUGGUAAAAUCCUAAAAGGGGUAUGGAUAUGAAUGAAAAAAGUGCACUUCUGCUCCAAUCAAAUAUCAUUACUUUGAGCCACUUAUUUGAAUAACUUAAUACCAUAGUAGGAAUAUUAGCAUGUAAUUUUCUCUUUCUAGGCAUCGGAGGCACAAAAUUACAAUUAUAAUGUAAUGGAUCAGUAGGAACGCAAGAUCUAAUUGUCAAUUACAAAUAUUUUCAUGUGCCACGUGCUUCCCCUAUUCUCCUCCACUUACUUCUCUGUUCAUCUGCAAGUUCGGUUGAUCUUUGAAGUAUUGCUGAGCAAAGGAUUUAGAUUCUGUUAGAUCUACGUGCUCUUAAUGCUUAUCUAAUUAUUGAGCUCUGCCACUGCUUUUAGCACCCACCUAAAUUAACUACUGCUACAUAAGGGCAUUUAAAUUUGUUGAUAUCCACUGAAAUAAGAAUCCACAAGCUCCUCAAAUGUAACUUCCCUAUUUGUUUAAUUGUAAAACAGGUUCAGUUUUGCGCAAGCACAAACACAUCUGUGAAAUGAAGAGGUUUGCUUAAGUGUUCUUACAUAAUUAAGAAACAAAAUACUUUCACAUCAGUGGUCUACUUUAUCUUGUAACAGUUUUGGGUUUCCUUAAAUAUUAGUUGAUGAUAGCAUGUGAUUGCUGAUGCGUCAUAUGUAAGCAUACUGUUCAACCACCAGCAAUUGAAUCUCUGCUGGUUUAUUGUCAGUAGUCAUUGUGUGAAUGAAAGUUCUCUACUUCUUUAUACAGACUUUGAUUCGUAAGUAGAAUUAGGAACUGAACGUAUAAUACUCCUUCAACGUGAAUAUGUCACUCUCUAUUUGUGCCAGACAUGUUCACCGAGCCAACCAUUUAGGUAGAUAAGUAAGCUUAUAAAUUCUUUCAUGAUCUUCAACUAAGUACAUGUAUUGCCUUUUCUGCAGUUUACAUAUUUCUUCUCUCAGAAGCUUAUAAAUUCGUAUUUCUUUUGGAGUCUAUAACUUGGACCUUGCUGAUGCAAACCCUCAGUCAAGAAAUGAUUGCAUGGACUGGGAAGGCCGCGUCAAGGAGGCGUGGUGGGAGGAGGAGGAGGGGUCCGAGCAUGGCUGCGGCUAGAGUGCUGCGAUGAUGUAGGGUGGUGAAAAAAAUACUAUGUUAUAGUUCCAUGUAUUAUUUUUGAGGUACACUUUUUUUAUCUCACGUUCCGUGUCAAUGUCGUGAUGCUUACAACUGACCAAGAGUUUGAAGGUGUUGGAGAGUGGGAGAGCAUUCUGAUGAAACAUGAGCGCCUGCAAUAAAAAGUGGAACGGAUAGUGGAGAGAGCAUGGUGCAAUUUCUUCAGCUACUACAACUCUACUCUUGUACUCUCGAGGGGUGCUGACCAGUGACACUAACAGAGUUUCCUUUAGUGCCUCUACACUCCUGGAUUCACUCAGUGCAAAGAAGAUGAUAUUGCCUUUGAAGAGGAGAUGGGAGAUAGGUGGGUCUGCGCGAACGUUACGAACUCCUUGUAGAACCCCCAUAGGUUCCUUGCGAAAUAGCAGAUUUGACAAACCUUCAAUACAGAGCAGGAAAAUGGAGGGACUAAUAGGACCCUGGCCUUGUCAAAUCCCUCGAGAAGGAACAGUGGGUGAGGUGACAGAUGUUGAACUCAGUAUGACCAAAGAGAAGUUCUUGCUAAAAAAAGUGUACCGGAGAGGCUCUACCUCUGGAACUGUUUACCCCUGGGAUCUCAAUUUACUCUUGGCCGCAACCCACAGACUGAGUUGUGUUUGUGUUUGGAUAAAAUGUGUAUUUUUUCUACCUACAUAUAUGUAUUCCUAUUUUACAUAUAGUAACCUAGAAUUCUAGAUCUUGGCUGCAAUUGCGGAUGCAUCCCAUUGCUUUUAGCUAUUUGUUUCACACCACAUUAGAGCUACUUAAUUUCGUUACUAUACAAAUAUUGUAACUUUGAUUUACGGAAUUUUGGAAGUGGCUGAGAUUUCUUA